ACCUUCUGGACCACAGAGUUUUGGAAGUUCAGAAGAAUGCUUGUGGUGCCCUUCGAAACCUCGUUUUUGGCAAGUCUACAGAUGAAAAUAAAAUAGCAAUGAAGAAUGUUGGUGGGAUACCUGCCUUGUUGCGACUGUUGAGAAAAUCUAUUGAUGCAGAAGUAAGGGAGCUUGUUACAGGAGUUCUUUGGAAUUUAUCCUCAUGUGAUGCUGUAAAAAUGACAAUCACUCGAGAUGCUCUCUCAACCUUAACAAACACUGUGAUUGUUCCACAUUCUGGAUGGAAUAACUCUUCUUUUGAUGAUGAUCAUAAAAUUAAAUUUCAGACUUCACUAGUUCUGCGUAACACGACAGGUUGCCUGAGGAACCUCAGCUCCGCGGGGGAAGAAGCUCGGAAGCAAAUGCGGUCCUGCGAGGGGCUGGUAGACUCACUGUUGUAUGUGAUCCACACGUGUGUGAACACAUCCGAUUACGACAGCAAGGUCAGUGCCGGCCUGGCUGCAGGAGGGCGUGGUGGCAGGUGACCAUGAUGCCUGGUGCCACUAUUUGCAUGCCAUUGGUUCUUUCUGACCUGUGGAUCCUGUCCUCCUCAGGAGGCCACUCUCCAGAUCAAAGGGCAAGUCUCCAAAGUUACAGGGGCAAGGACGUGGCAACUUAAGAAAAUAUCCUGAGAACCGUGAGAACAGAGUGGCUUGGUGUGGUAAAGGCUUUCUCUCUGGUUCCCCUAGGCUCAUUCUCAGGGUGGUGCCCAUGCUGCUAUUUCCUCCAAUUCUGUAUCCGCACUAGAAUCAGAGCC
rnacentral:sRNA from 1 species